CGACGGGGCCCGCACAAGCGGAGGAGCAUGUGGUUUAAUUCGAUGAUACGCGAGGAGCCUUACCUGGGCUUGAAAGUUAGUGACAUUCUGUGAAAGCAGAACUUCCGCAAGGACACGAAACUAGGUGCUGCAUGGCUGUCGUCAGCUCGUGCCGUGAGGUGUUGGGUUAAGUCCCGUAACGAGCGCAACCCCUAUCAUUAGUUGCCAUCAGGUCAUGCUGGGGACUCUAAUGAGACUGCCCGCGCAAGCGGUGAGGAAGGUGGGGACGACGUCAAGUCAUCACGGCCCUUACGUCCAGGGCUACACACGUGCUACAAUGGUAGAUACAGCAGGUUGCCACAUGGUAACAUGGAGCUAAUCCCAAAAGUCUAUCUCAGUUCGGAUUGAGGUCUGCAACUCGACCUCAUGAAGCUGGAUUCGCUAGUAAUCGAAAAUCAGCAAUGUUUCGGUGAAUACGUUCCCGGGCCUU
rnacentral:rRNA from 1 species